rnacentral:lncRNA from 1 species
UUUUAAAUAAUAUAAUUAGAUAUUUUAUACUACUAAUAUCAAAGAUCUUCUCUCAUUAUUGCCGAUUUUACACUUAUAAUCCAAUAAUAAGUUGUUUAUUGAAUUCGCCUUUCUCUUUUAGGAUCUGAAGGGAGCCACGAUGAGACAAAACUGACCGGAUGGGGUCGUCCUAUACGGCCACCACCACCAAGCCACGAUGAGACAAAACCGACUGGAUGGGGUCGUCCUAUACGGCCACCGCCACCAAGCCACGAUGAGACAAAACUGACUGGUUGGGGUCGUCCUAUCCGACCACCGCCACCAAGCCACGAUGAGAUAAAACCGACCUUUUCAAAUGUGCCACCUAGUUGGGGUGGGCACCACCUUAGAUGAACUAAGUAUUAUGAUGAUGAAUCAAAGAUUUGAAAGU